AGCGGCAAUGGCGGAGCUGAGCGGGGAGCGGGACAGCCCCAAGCGGGGAACGGGGAUGGGUGUCCCGGUGCAGUGAUCCCUGUCCCGGUGCAGGGAUCGCUGUCCCGGCACGGCGAUUGCUGUCCUGUCCCGGGACACGGAGCGGGAAGGCGGCAGCAGCGGGAGCUGCGGGCAGGGGGACACCGGAGCUGCCUCGGCCGAGCGGGGCCCGGGGCGGAUUCUGUAGGGGCCAAAAUGAACAUUUGGGGGUGAAAUCUGAAUUAAUGUGCAGGGGCCAGAACUCACAGUUUGGGGUAAGGAUGAGGUGGUCGGUGCUCUCCGGAGGGACCAGCUGGGGCUGGCUCUGUGUUACUGUGAAUAAUUUGCUUUAUGGAACGAGACAGCUGAGACUGCCGCGGGAAUCCAGGGCUGGAGCCGGGAAGGAAACCUGGUCUGACCGCGGGAAGGGGAGCGGGGGUCAGGCGGGGCUUCCAUCGGUCACUGGAGCCGCUGCCGUGAAAGCGACGUGUAAGGAUGAAUAGAUUGUAGGGUUACCGAUAACGAUACAUAACGGAGCUAUAGAACGAUCCUACAACGAGAUAUAAAUAAAACUCCCCUAUCGUCAACCUUCUCCCAGCCCCACUGUGUUUUCAGCAUCCUGGGGGAAGAGCCGGGCUCCGGACAAGGCUCCCGGGCACAGCGGGGAAUUCUUGGGGUCCUGUGCGGGGCCAGGAUUUGUCUCGGUGCUCCCCGCAGUCCCUUUCGGCUCAGGAAUGCCGCGAUCCUGUGCCCUGGAGGGUGGCACAGGGCAUCGGGGGUUCUGCCCGCGGCGUUCGCGGCCCCGCCGGCUCAGGGCGGGUCAGAGGCGCGGCCGCCCCGGGACAGCGGCACCGGCCGGGCCGGGAGCGCCCGGUGCUGCCGCCCCGUGGGCAGCGCCGGAACUGCAGCCCGGGACGGCGCCGCACCGCGGGAGCGGCGGGGAGCGGCGUCCUGAGAAUUCUGGGGCACCCCGGGAAUGCUGGGGCAUUCCUGGGAAUGCCGGGGCACCCCGGGAAUGCUGGGGCAUUCCUGGGAAUGCUGGGGUAUCCUGGGAGUGCUGGGGCAACCCGGGAAUGCUGGGGCACCCCAGGGAGUGCUGGGGUAUCCCUGGGAAUGCUGAGACAUCCCGGGAAUGCUGGGGCAUCCCAGGCAGUGCUGACGUUUCUCAGGGAAAGCUGAGGUGUCCCAGGGAAUGCUGAGGCAUCCCAUGCCCGGGGCACUCGGCAGCACAUCCCUGAUGUGGUGCAGAAAAAGGAAAGCCCUGGGUUAGUGGGAGGAUGUUUCUGGAAUGGAACUGGGAGAGGUGCUGAUCAUCCCAUGGAAUCCGGGGCUGCUUUGGCUUGGAAGGGAGCACGGGAUCAUUGACACUCUCCUGUCUGAUUGCACAGCCAAGAACAUCCCAAAGGGCCUCCUCACCCUCAUGGACAGCGCUUCCAUGGCUCCUGCUUGGGAAUGGCAGUGGCUGUUGGGAGCUCUGGCAGGAGCACCUGGAGACCAGGGAGAGGAAGCCAAGCCUGGCGAGGAGGAGGAUGAGGAGGUGUGGGAGGAUGGAGACAGCGGCCACCAAAGGCUGGGGAAGGCCCAGCUCCAGCAGGGAAACAUUUAAACAAGAGGUGCCAAAAAGAAUUGAAGCUUCUGCACAAUGAAAUCUGCAAGAAUCCAACUUCAAAUCCUCCUGGAUUGUCACCGGUCCAACUUCCAUGGACUGGUCACCGUGGCCAGGAGUGUCCAGUCUUGCUGGGAAUGCACUGGACCAGGAUGUCAUUUUCACUUUAUACAGCACAGGAGCCUUUCCCUUGCCCAGAGGAGCAGCAAGUGCCUCAAAUCCCCAGGAUGGACCACAGAGAAAAUAACAGGAAUAUGGAAAUCCCCCACACUGGGAGUUUGUGGUGCUCUGGAUUACAUUUUGGAUUUAUAAUGUUAAAGGGAGGCUGUGGAAUGGCUUAUCUCCUUUUUAUUUUUAUUGUUCUCACUGCUCUUGUUGCUGUCACUGUUAUUAUGUGUUGUCAUGAAUAUUAAAUGAUUGUAUUUUAUUGGUUUCCAUUAUUAAAGUGUUCUGAGCUGGAUUUUUGUCUCUGGUCUCUUCCCCAUCGCACUGGGGUGAGGGAGCUGCUGCUGGGGCCCAGCUGGG